rnacentral:rRNA from 1 species
AACCUCCGCAAUGUGAGAAAUCGCGACGGGGGGAUCCCAAGUGCCAUUCUUAACGGGAUGGCUUUUCAUUAGUGUAAAGAGCUUUUGGAAUAAGGGCUGGGCAAGACCGGUGCCAGCCGCCGCGGUAACACCGGCAGCUCUAGUGGUAGCAGUUUUUAUUGGGCCUAAAGCGUCCGUAGCCGGUUUAAUAAGUCUCUGGUGAAAUCCUGUAGCUUAACUGUGGGAAUUGCUGGAGAUACUAUUAGACUUGAGACCGGGAGAGGUUAGAGGUACUCCCAGGGUAGAGGUGAAAUUCUGUAAUCCUGGGAGGACCGCCUGUUGCGAAGGCGUCUAACUGGAACGGUUCUGACGGUGAGGGACGAAAGUUAGGGGCGCGAACCGGAUUAGAUACCCGGGUAGUCCUAACUGUAAACGAUGCGGACUUGGUGUUGGGGUGGCUUUGAGCUGCUCCAGUGCCGAAGGGAAGCUGUUAAGUCCGCCGCCUGGGAAGUACGGUCGCAAGACUAAAACUUAAAGGAAGU